CAUGAACGCUGUUCUGAAAGUAUGCAGUCUGAGUUGAUUAUCGUAAUCAGUUAAAACUUUCAACAACGGAUCUCUUGGUUCCGGCAUCGAUGAAGAACGCAGCGAAAUGCGAUAAGUAAUGUGAAUUGCAGAAUUCAGUGAAUCAUCGAGUCUUUGAACGCACAUUGCGCCCCCUGGUAUUCCGGGGGGCAUGCCUGUCCGAGCGUCAUUGCUGCCCUCAAGCACGGCUUGUGUGUUGGGCCCCCGUCCCCCUCUCCCGGGGGACGGGCCCGAAAGGCAGCGGCGGCACCGCGUCCGGUCCUCGAGCGUAUGGGGCUUUGUCACCUGCUCUGUAGGCCCGGCCGGCGCCAGCCGACACCCAACUUUAUUUUUCUAAGGUUGACCUCGGAUCAGGUAGGGAUACCCGCUGAACUUAAGCAUAUCAAUAAGCGGAGGAAAAGAAACCAACAGGGAUUGCCUCAGUAACGGCGAGUGAAGCGGCAAGAGCUCAAAUUUGAAAGCUGGCCCCUUCGGGGUCCGCGUUGUAAUUUGCAGAGGAUGCUUCGGGUGCAGCCCCCGUCUAAGUGCCCUGGAACGGGCCGUCAUAGAGGGUGAGAAUCCCGUCUGGGACGGGGUGUCUGCGUCCGUGUGAAGCUCCUUCGACGAGUCGAGUUGUUUGGGAAUGCAGCUCUAAAUGGGUGGUAAAUUUCAUCUAAAGCUAAAUACUGGCCGGAGACCGAUAGCGCACAAGUAGAGUGAUCGAAAGAUGAAAAGCACUUUGAAAAGAGAGUUAAACAGCACGUGAAAUUGUUGAAAGGGAAGCGUUUGCGACCAGACUCGCCCGCGGGGUUCAGCCGGCAUUCGUGCCGGUGUACUUCCCCGUGGGCGGGCCAGCGUCGGUUUGGGCGGCCGGUCAAAGGCCCUCGGAAUGUAUCACCUCUCGGGGUGUCUUAUAGCCGAGGGUGCAAUGCGGCCUGCCUGGACC
rnacentral:rRNA from 1 species